AGAGUUUGAUCAUGGCUCAGGAUUAACGCUGGCGGCGUGCAUGAAACAUGCAAGUCGAGCGCGGUACGUGGCUUCGGUCACGUAUCUAGCGGCGCACGGGUGAGUAACACGUGAGCAACCUACCUUCGAGUUCGGGAUAGCCCUGGGAAACCAGGAUUAAUACCGGAUGUGGUCACAGAGGGACAUCCCACUGUGAAAAAAGGCGCAAGCCGCUCGAUGACGGGCUCGCGGCCUAUUAGCUUGUUGGUGGGGUAACGGCCUACCAAGGCGACGAUGGGUAGCUGGUCUGAGAGGACGAUCAGCCACACUGGGACUGAGACACGGCCCAGACUCCUACGGGAGGCAGCAGUUAGGAAUUUUCCGCAAUGGGCGAAAGCCUGACGGAGCAACGCCGCGUGUGUGAUGAAGGCCUUCGGGUUGUAAAGCACUGUCGGAGGGGAAGAAUGAAUGACGGUACCCUCCAAGAAAGCCCCGGCUAACUACGUGCCAGCAGCCGCGGUAAUACGUAGGGGGCGAGCGUUAUCCGGAUUUACUGGGCGUAAAGCGCGUUAAGGCGGUUGGCAAAGUUGGUGGUGAAAUUUCAGGGCUCAACCCUGAAACUGCCUCCAAUACUGGUCGACUUGAGUGUGAGAGAGGAAGGUGGAAUUCCCGGUGUAGUAGUGAAAUGCGUAGAUAUCGGGAGGAACACCAGUGGCGAAGGCGGCCUUCUGGCUCACAACUGACGCUGUAGCGCGAAAGCGUGGGGAGCGAACGGGAUUAGAUACCCCGGUAGUCCACGCUGUAAACGAUGUGCACUAGGUGUUGGGCGUAUUGACGCGCUCAGUGCCGCAGCUAACGCAUUAAGUGCACCGCCUGGGGAGUACGGCCGCAAGGUUAAAACUCAAAGGAAUUGACGG
rnacentral:rRNA from 1 species